rnacentral:lncRNA from 1 species
CACCGAAAGCGAACGCUAUCUUAUUGCCACACUGGAAACAAAGAAAAAAAAUUAAGGAAAGAAUAAAAAAAAAAAUCAACCCCCAUAUUGCUGUAACAAUCAACUUAUUUCACAGAAUGAACUCACGCAAGCAA